ACCCUGUGUCCCUUCAGCUACACAGGUUUAACAUAGCGCAGUUCAUAAUAUAAUUAUCGUAAAAAAAAACGACGUCGUAUAAUCGGAAGAGCUGAAAAUUAUAGGCAUGUAUAUAUAUACUUCCUUUUAAAUUUGUUGUAUAUAACUUGUUAAUUUUAUCAUUUUAAAAAAUAUUUUUUGCUUGUUCGACUGUUGCUGAGCAGUUUUUGAAUAUCAAAUGGACCUUUCUAGAAGGUUUACUUUUGAUUAACGAUGGAGAAUUUACAUAUUGACGCUCUAAAACCCUUGCAAAAUCCUCUGCCUUUUCCUCCACACCGCCGACGAUUGCUCAUGAGUGAAACGUACAGUACAUUGCUUCGAAUUGUAUCAAAUUGCCCCAGCAUUGACUCUACUAUUGAUAAACAAAAACAAGAUGACAAUGGCAGCAGUAAACUGGGAAAAGAAAAUGAAGUCGGCGAAUUGGUUGAUCAUCAUCUCAUCAGGUCUGAGAAAUUGUUAGUUACUGCUCGUGCUCAAGAGGAUUCUGACAAUCUGGUAGUGCAAGGGGGUUCUGGUGAUGGAAAUGAAGGGAGCUCUCGUUCUGGAUAUGGAGAUUUUACUGGUUCACAAAUAGAAGUAGAUUUGGAUCUCUCAAAUCAGAUAAGCGAUGCUGUAGAAGGCAAGAAAGGUGAUUCUGUAACAAAUGAUAUCAUUGAUAUGAAUUGUUUGGUAGACAAAACUCUUGGUUGUAAUGAUCAAAUGAUCCAGGAACCUGGGAAUAGGUGUAGCACUCAUGAAUCGGAAGUGAAGGAGCCUGAUCCUAUCAGACAGGUAGAAUUAGACAAAGAACCCAGUAUUGCUGAUGUCAGAGCAGCAAUAGAGUCUUGUUUUGAUGCAGAUGCAAUUGUUGAUUUGUCGCAACCUGCAGAGCUCCCUGGACAGAAAAUGGAUGUUUCUGAGACACAUUUGUCAGAAGAACUGAAGCAUGGAUUGCGGAUAAAAGAGAUGGAAUUGGAAACAUUGAUAUCUUCUGCUGGAGCAACAGAUUUGUCUGUCCAUGUUCCUGUGUGUGAAGAGGUGGAGGAGGGGGAAGCUUUCGGAGAUGUUAUGGUUUUUGAUGAAUCAGAUUAUGACAUUCUUAAUAAUGUUGGUAAUGAGAAGAAGGAUGGUGCAGAUGAGUCUCCUGCUAACAUUUUUGGUAAAGAAGAGUUUGCUUUUGAUGUUCACGUUAAUGCACCGCAGAAGAAGGAUGCUCACGUUAAUGCACCACAGAAGAAGGAUGUUUACGUUAAUGCACAACAGAAGAAGGAUGCUUAUGCCUCUUCAUCCAUUAAUGCAGUUGAUGAGGAUAACACCUCUUUGGGGGGAGAGUUCAUAAGAAAAUUUAGAGAAGUUCCGAAAGAUAAUACUGAAAAGGUUUUCCGCUCAAAGGAUGUCGAGACCAGAAAGGUUUGUGUGUAUGACACCAUUUUGGAUAGUGGAAUUGAUGCUGAGCAAGUUGGCGGAGAUGUGAAGUUAGAUCAUCCUGCAGGUUCUCAAUUUGAUCAUCCUGCAGGUUCUCAAUUUGACUCAACCUCAAGUGUAAAUGCAAAAAAAAGAAAAUACUUAGAAGUCGGUGCUGAGAAUGGGACUAUUGGUAAAAAUGAAAAGAAGAAACGUCCUUCAAACAAGGAAAGAAAAGCAAGGAAAAAGGCUAAGGAGAGAAUUAAACGAGCUGAAAAGCUUGGAGUUAAAAGGCUGAAGCUUCCACUAGUGGUGAAACCAAAAGAAGUGAAAUAUUGCCGCCAUUAUAUCCAAGGAAGAUGCUUUGAGGCUGAUAAGUGCAAAUUCUCUCAUGAUACCAUCCCCUUGACAAAGACGUCAAAGCCAUGUCGUCAUUUUGCACGUCAGUCUUGCAUGAAAGGUGAUGACUGCCCAUUUGAUCAUCAACUCUCCAAGUAUCCGUGCGAAAAAUAUGCAUCUCAAGGGUUUUGCAACAGAGGUGGUGAUUGUUUAUUUUCACACGAGAUAUCUGCUAAGACAGCAACAGUGACAAGUCCUACUGCUUCAAACCCGCCAUCAGCUCCAAGUAAAUCAAACUCUUUGAUUCAAGUAGACACAUAUGGAAUGUCGCAUAAAGACGUUAACUCCACAUCUGGUUCAGCUGCGCUUGUUCCUGGUAAGAGCGCUGAGCGAAGUGUAUUAGAGUGUGUGGGAAAGCCAGCUGCACGUGCACCCAAAGGUGUCAGGUUAUUUUCUGGUGUCACGUUAUCAUCUCCUCGUGGGAAGUCUUUGCAAGGUGAUGCCGAAAAACAUAAAGAAGCUGAUUUAUCUUCCAAGGCAGAUGAUGUUGGAAAAUUUAAGUCAGAAAGUAAUCAGAAACUGAAUGGAUUCAUGAAAGGAACAUCUGUGAGGACACCACAAGGAGUGAACUUCUUGUCCUUUGGCCGAGCACCUUUGGCUGAGCCCAGUCGUGACACAUUAACAAGCAUGCUUAAUAUGGAUUAUGGAGUUGAUAAAUUGCAGUUGGGUGACAUGAACAACAGUAAAGAAGCUGCAACAUGUUCCAAGAGGAAUGACAGUGUCAAAGAUGAUAAUCAAGCCAAUGUAAGUGCCAAGUUAAGGAGCAUGAACCAAAUGUCGACUAGAAAUCCCCCUGGUUCUGUACCUCGGGGUGUAAACAUCCUGUCAGUUGACAAAGCAGUAAAGAAUAGAUUGCAUCCUAAUGACUUCAACAGUGCUUCAUCACCCAUUCAGAGGAGACAAAAUGCACUAAAUACAACUUCCACCGAAAUGCCGUUUAGGCAGUUGAGUUCUUUAUUUCCAGCUGGGCAGUCCUUAAUCCAGUCCGCACAGAAGUGCAAUGCCGAAGUUUCCAGCUCCUCGAAGGCACCGUUGCUUGCAAAUACAACGAGCUCGAUUCAGAAGGCUCUUAGUUCAACUUUAGCAUUUGCAGCUAACUUGGAAGUCAAGUAUGGAAUGCCCAAUGGUUCCCCUGACAUAAGUUCCGCGAUCAAUCAUAAGGCUGGAAGUUCAAGGGAUAGGUGAAGGAAUUUAAUUUCUUUCGACCGUGGUUAUGGUAGCACGCUCAUGCUCAAUAAGUUAUGAAGGCAGUCUGCAUGUUUGAGUAAUGAGGUAAAAGGGCUUUUGUAGUUGGUGUAUCCGAUGAUAACACAUAUGGCUGGGCUAUUGAUAAAUUCCUGGCUGGCUGCUGCAGGGUUUUAUCGGAAAUAACCUCUCCAUCUCACCUUUGAGGUAGUGAUAUGACUGUGUACACUUUACCCUCUCCGGACCCCAAUUUGUGGGAAUAUACUAGGUAUGUUGUUGUAUAUGCUUAAGAUUUUUAGCUGUCGUUUGGUAGAGUGUAUAGGAAUAAUGCAAAAUAUGGUGUAUUAGUAAUGCUUGUGUUGGCUAUACUUGCAUUAGUUAUGUUUGUAUUUUUUCUUA